CACAGAGGAAGGACCAUGUGAAGAUACAAGGAGAAGAUGGUGUUCUGCGUGGCAAGGAGAGAGGCCUCAGAAGGAACCAACCAUGCUGGCACCUUGAUCUUGGACUUCCAACCUCUAGAACUGCAAGAAAAUAAAUUCCUGUGGCUUAAGUCCCCCAGGCUGUGGUACUUUGCUUAUGGACCCAGCAGACUAAUAUACUUUGUUUCACCAAAAGGGCUAUGAGCAGCGUGCCUGGAGGCCUCUCUCUCCUCUGCCACAGGCCAAUUGUGAUUCCCACGGAGAACCACUAGCAAGUUCAAGGCUAGGUUGUCUGGGAUGUAAAUAUGAUAGCAAUUUAUAGGAGUGGAAUGGAACCAUCAGAAGAAGCUUUAUAAAGAAUGGAAGGUGGCUGACCCUUGAAGAAUGAGAAGGAUGGAAAUGAAGAAAGGCGAAUAGAGAGCUUCCCAGCUGUUGCUGACUUUGAAUCUUCAGGGAAUGAAGAACAUCAUCAUCUUCUGGUGGAAGAGGUAGAAGAGAGAGAGAGAAGAGAAGGUUUUUGUAACCUGGGCCCUGGCCAAAUAAUAGAAGUGAUGCUCCAAGGUGUCUGGUUCUGCAAAUUCUAACUCAUCGACUGGCUGUGAGCUUGAGGAAGUUAUGACAUUCUCUGUAGAAGGAAAUAACUAGAGCUGCUCCCCUCUGCCUCAUCUCUCAACUCAGACAAGAUAAGAUUAUGAGAACGGGGAGCUUCAGGAUCACUGGAGCAAAGCACUGCUCUUCCCUUGUGCUGUGUGGACCUUGCAGUCUUCAACUCCACUUACCCACCACAUGAAGAAUGUGCAGAAUGGAAGUUCAAGAAGUCCCUUUUCAAAGUUUGACUGCAGUCUUUCUUAAUCGUCAAGUGUGCGUUGGGGUUUAUCGAGAAGAUCAACAUGUUUGGAUCGGUGUAGGAGUGAGAAUCGGAUCUCUCCCACGUGGCUUUGAAGACUCCAGCAACAGUCAGCUUCCGUGAAAGAAUAUAAUCCUCGAGACAGAGAUUCCACGAGGGACAAGAUCACAUCCUUGUGCCUUGGGGCACAAAAGAAGCAAAAUCUGCAUUAAAGCCAAAGGAAGCAAGAGAGGAAGGAUUAAUUUGGGGGAGCUGAGGAAUUUACAGGAGGCAAUAAUGAAGAAUUUGAAAACCUACCUGUAUGA